GAUGAACGCUAGCGAUAGGCUUAACACAUGCAAGUCGAGGGGUAACAGGGUUGCUUGCAACCGCUGACGACCGGCGCACGGGUGCGUAACGCGUAUGCAACUUUACCUUUAUAGAGGGGGAUAGCCCGUUUAACGACGGAUUAAUACCGCAUAUACAAACAGCUCGGCAUCGAGCAAUUUGGAAAUGAAUUUCGCUAUAAGAAUAGGCAUGCGUCCCAUUAGCUAGUUGGUGAGGUAAUGGCUCACCAAGGCGACGAUGGGUAGGGGAACUGAGAGGUUUGAUCCCCCACACUGGUACUGAGACACGGACCAGACUCCUACGGGAGGCAGCAGUGAGGAAUAUUGGUCAAUGGACGCAAGUCUGAACCAGCCAAAUCGCGUGAAGGAUGACUGUCUUAUGGAUUGUAAACUUCUUUUAUACGGGAAUAAUCACAGAUACGCGUAUUUGUUUGAAUGUACCGUAUGAAUAAGCAUCGGCUAACUCCGUGCCAGCAGCCGCGGUAAUACGGAGGAUGCGAGCGUUAUCCGGAUUUAUUGGGUUUAAAGGGUGCGUAGGUGGUUUGAUAAGUCAGCGGUGAAAUCUCCGAACUCAACUCGGACACUGCCGUUGAAACUGUUGAACUUGAGUGUAGAUGAGGUAGGCGGAAUGCGUGGUGUAGCGGUGAAAUGCAUAGAUAUCACGCAGAACUCCGAUUGCGAAGGCAGCUUACUAAGGUACAACUGACACUGAAGCACGAAAGCGUGGGUAUCAAACAGGAUUAGAUACCCUGGUAGUCCACGCUGUAAACGAUGAUUACUGGGCGUAUGCGAUAUACAGUAUGCUCCUAAGCGAAAGCGUUAAGUAAUCCACCUGGGGAGUACGCCGGCAACGGUGAAACUCAAAGGAAUUGACGGGGGCCCGCACAAGCGGAGGAACAUGUGGUUUAAUUCGAUGAUACGCGAGGAACCUUACCUGGGUUUAAACUUUGAUUGACCGCUCAAGAGAUUGAGUUUCCCUUAUGGGCAAUCAUUUAGGUGCUGCAUGGUUGUCGUCAGCUCGUGCCGUGAGGUGUCGGCUUAAGUGCCAUAACGAGCGCAACCCCUGUCUGCGGUUACCAUCAGGUCAAGCUGGGGACUCCGCAGAGACUGCCGUCGUAAGGCGCGAGGAAGGUGGGGAUGACGUCAAAUCAGCACGGCCCUUACAUCCAGGGCGACACACGUGUUACAAUGGUGAGGACGAAAGGGAGAGCUACUAGGCGACUAGGUGCAAAUCUCAAAACCUCAUCACAGUUUCGGAUCGGAGUCUGCAACUCGAACUCCGUGAAAGCUGGAUUCGCUAGUAAUCGCGCCUCAGCCAUGGCGCGGUGAAUACGUUCCCGGGCCU
rnacentral:rRNA from 1 species